rnacentral:lncRNA from 1 species
GCGAGACUGCCCGCGACAGGGGCGGUCCGGGCGCAGUCUAGCGGCUUCCGGUCGUUGGAGGUGUGGUUCUGUGCUGCCUGCUUGGAGAUUAAAGUGUUUAUUUUCGGCAACACACUAUUGCCGUGGCACCUGGGAGCGUCAAGUAAGCCAUUUCAGAAGAAAGUGAGGUGCAGGACUGAACUAAGUGGCUGAUCCAAGGAAUGUCCUAUGUUGAAAAGCUGGGUAGGUGACUACAGAAACAUACUGAAAUCUCUUUCAAUGAUUGAAUUGUGUCUUAAGAAAA